GACGAACGCUGGCGGCGUGCUUAACACAUGCAAGUCGAACGGAAAGGCCCUGCUUUUGUGGGGUGCUCGAGUGGCGAACGGGUGAGUAACACGUGAGUAACCUGCCCUUGACUUUGGGAUAACUUCAGGAAACUGGGGCUAAUACCGGAUAGGAGCUCCUGCUGCAUGGUGGGGGUUGGAAAGUUUCGGCGGUUGGGGAUGGACUCGCGGCUUAUCAGCUUGUUGGUGGGGUAGUGGCUUACCAAGGCUUUGACGGGUAGCCGGCCUGAGAGGGUAACCGGCCACAUUGGGACUGGGAUACGGCCCAGACUCCUACGGGAGGCAGCAGUGGGGAAUAUUGCACAAUGGGCGGAAGCCUGAUGCAGCAACGCCGCGUGCGGGAUGACGGCCUUCGGGUUGUAUACCGCUUUCGCCUGUGACGAAGCGUGAGUGACGGUAAUGGGUAAAGAAGCACCGGCUAACUACGUG
rnacentral:rRNA from 1 species